rnacentral:rRNA from 1 species
ACGAACGCUGGCGGCGUGCCUAAUACAUGCAAGUUGGGCGCUGAAGGUUGGUACUUGUACCCACUGGAUGAGCAGCGAACGGGUGAGUAACGCGUGGGGAAUCUGCCUUUGAGCGGGGGACAACAUUUGGAAACGAAUGCUAAUACCGCAUAAAAACUUUAAACACAAGUUUUAAGUUUGAAAGAUGCAAUUGCAUCACUCAAAGAUGAUCCCGCGUUGUAUUAGCUAGUUGGUGAGGUAAAGGCUCACCAAGGCGAUGAUACAUAGCCGACCUGAGAGGGUGAUCGGCCACAUUGGGACUGAGACACGGCCCAAACUCCUACGGGAGGCAGCAGUAGGGAAUCUUCGGCAAUGGACGAAAGUCUGACCGAGCAACGCCGCGUGAGUGAAGAAGGUUUUCGGAUCGUAAAACUCUGUUGGUAGAGAAGAACGUUGGUGAGAGUGGAAAGCUCAUCAAGUGACGGUAACUACCCAGAAAGGGACGGCUAACUACGUG